AUUCUACGGCAUGCAUGUAUAGCUUUGCACCUGUAAGCUAUUACUUGGCAGAGUAACUGAAAAGGUAAUUGAUUUUGGUAAAUGACUCGUCUCUUGAUGUGAGAUUUUGAGCUUGGAUUUCCAUUAUAGGGUUCGCGUUGAGAGGAGAUCACAUCUACCUCAUCAAUUUGUAUGAGAUUUAUAAGAGGUGUGACGAGAAAUAUUUUGGCAACGUAUUGAAUCAAGUUUAAGAAUUUAGACAUUUUUUUGAUAAAUUUACAUUUGAUAGCAUGUGGAAAUGACAAAAAUACUAUUAUUGUGUUUUGUUUUUUGGAUGUGUUGGGUGAUUGUAUUACUUAUAUAUGAUGAUUCAGUCUUACUUAUAUAUGAUGUCCCAAACUUCUUUC